rnacentral:sRNA from 5 species
UGUAUCUGAAGUCUGACGAGGAUGAGAACCUCCGGGGGCAAGAGGUUCGACUCGAGCGAAGCGAGAGAACGUUGCGUCAGCAACGGCCCGCAGGGCGAGCC